CAAUAAGUUAAAAAGUGUUUGGCUUAAAAAGUGCUUUUUGAAGAUAUUUUGGCUGAAAAGCCAUAAGCAGUUUCAAAAAGCCACGUUUUUCAUGCUUAUUAAAAAGUGCUUAUUGAAGCUUAUGGAAAAGCCAUUCUGAAAAGUGCUUUUGAGUUUGCCAAACACUUUUUUUAGCUUAUUAGCUUUUCAAAAAGCCAAUAAGCAAAUAAGCAUUUUUCAAACGCAAUCCCAAACACCCCCUAAGUGUUUGAAAUGGCAGAGUCAUCUGGUUGGCAAUUGAGCUCUGCGCGGGUGUAGAAGACAUCUGGUUUGUUUGACUAUUUCAACAUGUUGUUUGACUAUCUCAAUUUUGUUUUUGUCUACAGUUGUGUUUAUUUGAUUAUUUAACUAGGUUAAAACCCGUGGAACCCAUGGAUGUUGAUUUUGAAUUGAAUUUAAAAAUUAAUUAUUUAAUAAAAUAAUAUUUCAUUAAUUUUGAUAACUUAUGAAUUAUAACUUUUUUUAUAAUAUAAUUUGUAUAUUUGUUUAUAUUGUGUACCAGUGAAUUUAAUUAAAGAUAUUAAAGUUAAAAUGAGUCGGGUCAGAUCCAAAGCUAUAAAUGGGUCGGAGUCGGAUCCAUAAGAGUAGAUAACCAUACGAACUGUAACUCGUAACGUGUGUUGUAUAUGCAGAAAGAAAUCGGGUGAAGAAAGCAAUACUAUCCCAACAACUCUCUUUCUCCUUCUUCCACUGCAACCCUAAAGUCAUUACCUGAUGUGAAUCACGUGUCAUCAUCCUCAUUUCCAACUUAGGGCUUAUUCCAUUUCCAUUUGUUCUGUCCCCAAUUUGAACGAAUUUUGAGUACGCCUUGCACGUGCUCCUGUAGUCGAGAAGAAGAAGAGAGAAGGUAGGCCCAAUAAGCAAUCGGAGCAUUUGGUGGGUAAUCACAUUAAAACUCGAGCAACUGCAGCUAGGGAAGCGGCGACGGUUAGUGUUAAGCCGAAGCAACAAAAGAAGUCGAGGUUGCCGACUAAGAAGAAGAAAGAGGGUUUAGCAAAAUAGUCGGUGGUUGUCAUUUCUGAAGCAGAGGAGGAUAAAAAGCGAACAGAGGAAACCGGAGAAGAGACAUUCAAAGUAGCAAUGGCAGAUGUAAGCGGUGGCUAAAGCGCUAACAGGGUUACAGGCCAGGAAGAAGAAGGGAAUACCGCCCCAUUUCAUGAAAGGGUUCAAGUAGGUGGAUCACCUCAAUAUAAGGUCGAAAGAAAAUUAGGGAAAGGUGGAUUUGGUCAGGUAUUUGUUUGUCGUCGUGUAUCUGGUGGAACUGAUCGCAUAUCAGGUCUUGGUGCUACAGAGGUAGCUUUUAAGUUUGAGCAUAGAAACAGCAAAGGCUGCAGUUAUGGUCCUCCAUACGACUGGCAAGUUUAAAAGUAUGUGCACAUUAUGUUUUUGUGAUCAGUACACAGAUUAAAAUUGUUCUUUUUUGAAUUUAAAGAAGUGGAUUUGUUUUUUCUUGGUGGAACAGUACUAUGGGUGGGAGUCAUGGAGUGCCUAAAGUUCAUUAUAAAGGAAAACAAAUAGAUUACUAUGUUAUAGUAUAUGUUAAUACUUGAUGAGUUUUUAGUUUAUUUAAAUGAAUAACUAUAUAACAUUUCUUUUUCUUUGUUUACAUUAUAGGUCAUGGACACGUUAGGGCCUAGUUUGUGGGAUGUUUGGAAUUCUUAUGGACAAACGUGAGCUCUCCAUAAACCU